AUUGAACGCUGGCGGCAGGCCUAACACAUGCAAGUCGAGCGGAUGAAGGGAGCUUGCUCCUGGAUUCAGCGGCGGACGGGUGAGUAAUGCCUAGGAAUCUGCCUGGUAGUGGGGGAUAACGUCCGGAAACGGGCGCUAAUACCGCAUACGUCCUGAGGGAGAAAGUGGGGGAUCUUCGGACCUCACGCUAUCAGAUGAGCCUAGGUCGGAUUAGCUAGUUGGUGGGGUAAGGGCCUACCAAGGCGACGAUCCGUAACUGGUCUGAGAGGAUGAUCAGUCACACUGGAACUGAGACACGGUCCAGACUCCUACGGGAGGCAGCAGUGGGGAAUAUUGGACAAUGGGCGAAAGCCUGAUCCAGCCAUGCCGCGUGUGUGAAGAAGGUCUUUGGAUUGUAAAGCACUUUAAGUUGGGAGGAAGGGCAGUAAGUUAAUACCUUGCUGUUUUGACGUUACCAACAGAAUAAGCACCGGCUAACUUCGUG
rnacentral:rRNA from 1 species